AGCGAACGCUGGCGGCAGGCCUAACACAUGCAAGUCGAACGAACCUUUCGGGGUUAGUGGCGGACGGGUGAGUAACACGUGGGAACGUGCCUUUAGGUUCGGAAUAACUCAGGGAAACUUGUGCUAAUACCGAAUGUGCCCUUCGGGGGAAAGAUUAAUCGCCUUUAGAGCGGCCUGCGUCUGAUUAGCUAGUUGGUUGAGGUAAUGGCUCACCAAGGCGACGAUCAGUAGCUGGUCUGAGAGGAUGAUCAGCCACAUUGGGACUGAGACACGGCCCAAACUCCUACGGGAGGCAGCAGUGGGGAAUCUUGCGCAAUGAGCGAAAGCCUGACGCAGCCAUGCCGCGUGAAUGAUGAAGGUCUUAGGAUUGUAAAAUUCUUUCACCGGGGACGAUAAUGACGGUACCCGGAGAAGAAGCCCCGGCUAACUUCGUG
rnacentral:rRNA from 1 species